rnacentral:rRNA from 1 species
GAUGAACGCUGGCGGCGUGCCUAAUACAUGCAAGUCGAGCGGAGCGGGGACAGGUGAGUAACACGUGGGUAACCUCCUAUAAGACUGGGAUAACUUCGGGAAACCGGUGCUAAACCGGCUACUUAUCGAUUGAUCCGCGCUGCAUUAGCUAGUUGGUAAGGUAACGGCUUACAAAGGCAACGAUGCAUAGCCGAACUGAGAGGGUGACCAGCCACACUGGGACUGAGACACGGCCCAGACUCCUACGGGAGGCAGCAGUGGGGAAGAUUGCACAAUGGGCGAAAGCCUGAUGCAGCCAUGCCGCGUGUAUGAAGAAGGCCUUCGGGUUGUAAAGUACUUUCAGCGGGGAGGCGUUACCCGCAGAAGAAGCACCGGCUAACUCCGUGCCAGCAGCCGCGGUAAUAC